CCUGUAGCUCAGCUGGAUAGAGUAGAGGUUUCCGAAGCCUUUGGUCGUGGGUUCAAAUCCCGUCAGGUGC
rnacentral:tRNA from 1 species